rnacentral:rRNA from 1 species
AGAGUUUGAUCCUGGCUCAGGAUGAACGCUAGCUACAGGCUUAACACAUGCAAGUCGAGGGGAAACGACAUCGAAAGCUUGCUUUUGAUGGGCGUCGACCGGCGCACGGGUGAGUAACGCGUAUCCAACCUGCCCACCACUUGGGGAUAACCUUGCGAAAGUAAGACUAAUACCCAAUGACGUCUCUAGAAGACAUCUGAAAGAGAUUAAAGAUUUAUCGGUGAUGGAUGGGGAUGCGUCUGAUUAGCUUGUUGGCGGGGUAACGCCGCCAAGGCUACGAUCAGUAGGGGGUUCUGGAGAGGGAAGGUCCCCCCACAUUGGAACUGAGACACGGUCCAAACUCCUACGGGAGGCA